rnacentral:rRNA from 1 species
GAUGAACGCUGGCGGCGUGCCUAACACAUGCAAGUCGAGCGAUCUCUUCGGAGAGAGCGGCGGACGGGUGAGUAACGCGUGGGUAACCUGCCCUGUACACACGGAUAACAUACCGAAAGGUAUGCUAAUACGGGAUAAUAUAUAAAAGUCGCAUGGCUUUUAUAUCAAAGCUUUUGCGGUACAGGAUGGACCCGCGUCUGAUUAGCUAGUUGGCAAGGUAACGGCUUACCAAGGCGACGAUCAGUAGCCGACCUGAGAGGGUGAUCGGCCACACUGGAACUGAGACACGGUCCAGACUCCUACGGGAGGCAGCAGUGGGGAAUAUUGCACAAUGGGCGAAAGCCUGAUGCAGCAACGCCGCGUGAGCGAUGAAGGCGUUCGGGUCGUAAAGCUCUGUCCUCAAGGAAGAUAAUGACGGUACUUGAGGAGGAAGCCCCGGCUAACUACGUGCCAGCCGCCGCGGUAA